rnacentral:rRNA from 1 species
AUUGAACGCUGGCGGCAUGCCUUACACAUGCAAGUCGAACGGCAGCACGGGAGCAAUCCUGGUGGCGAGUGGCGAACGGGUGAGUAAAGUAUCGGAACGUGCCCAGUCGUGGGGGAUAACGUAGCGAAAGUUACGCUAAUACCGCAUACGAUCUAUGGAUGAAAGCGGGGGAUCGCAAGACCUCGCGCGAUUGGAGCGGCCGAUAUCAGAUUAGGUAGUUGGUGGGGUAAAGGCUCACCAAGCCGACGAUCUGUAGCUGGUCUGAGAGGACGACCAGCCACACUGGGACUGGGACACGGCCCAGACUCCCACGGGAGGCAGCAGUGGGGAAUUUUGGACAAUGGGCGAAAGCCUGAUCCAGCCAUGCCGCGUGCAGGAUGAAGGCCUUCGGGUUGUAAACUGCUUUUGUACGGAACGAAAAGGUUUGGCCUAAUAAGCUGAGCUCAUGACGGUACCGUAAGAAUAAGCACCGGCUAACUACGUGCCAGCAGCCGCUGUAA